AUUGAACGCUGGCGGCAUGCUUUACACAUGCAAGUCGAACGGUAACAGGCCUUCGGGUGCUGACGAGUGGCGAACGGGUGAGUAAUGCAUCGGAACGUGCCCAGAGGUGGGGGAUAACGCAGCGAAAGCUGUGCUAAUACCGCAUGUGAUCUGAGGAUGAAAGCGGGGGACCAGGCAGCAAUGUUUGGCCUCGCGCCUUUGGAGCGGCCGAUGUCAGAUUAGGUAGUUGGUGGGGUAAAGGCCUACCAAGCCGACGAUCUGUAGCUGGUCUGAGAGGACGACCAGCCACAAUGGGACUGAGACACGGCCCAGACUCCUACGGGAGGAAGCAGUGGGGAAUUUUGGACAAUGGGCGCAAGCCUGAUCCAGCAAUGCCGCGUGCGGGAAGAAGGCCUUCGGGUUGUAAACCGCUUUUGUACGGAACGAAAAGGCUCUGGCUAAUACCUGGGGCUGAUGACGGUACCGUAAGAAUAAGCACCGGCUAACUACGUG
rnacentral:rRNA from 1 species